UAUAAGACGAGAAGACCCCAUGGAGCUUUAAACCCAACAGCACCCGUUUAUUUUCAUCCUCACAUAAGUUAGGUUAUGCCUGUUUGGUUUUAGGUUGGGGUGACCACGGAGUAUAAAACAACCUCCAUGAAAAAAGGACCAAAAAUCCUUAUUAGAGAAAGACAUUUCUAAAAUUAAUAAAUUAAUUUUUAAUGAUCCGAUAUUCGAUCAACGAACCAAGUUACCCUGGGGAUAACAGCGCAAUCCACUUCAAGAGCUCCUAUCGACAAGUGGGUUUACGACCUCGAUGUUGGAUCAGGGUAUCCUAGUGGUGCAGCAGCUACUAACGGUUCGUUUGUUCAACGAUUAAAACCCU
rnacentral:rRNA from 1 species